AGGAAAAGAAUUUCUACUAAGAUCGCCCACCUCCUUUGGCGGAUGUAGAAAUCAUCACAUCCUGUGAA
rnacentral:sRNA from 1 species